rnacentral:rRNA from 1 species
UCGAGCGGCAGCGGAAAGUAGCUUGCUACUUUGCCGGCGAGCGGCGGACGGGUGAGUAAUGUCUGGGAAACUGCCUGAUGGAGGGGGAUAACUACUGGAAACGGUAGCUAAUACCGCAUGACCUCGAAAGAGCAAAGUGGGGGAUCUUCGGACCUCACGCCAUCGGAUGUGCCCAGAUGGGAUUAGCUAGUAGGUGAGGUAAUGGCUCACCUAGGCGACGAUCCCUAGCUGGUCUGAGAGGAUGACCAGCCACACUGGAACUGAGACACGGUCCAGACUCCUACGGGAGGCAGCAGUGGGGAAUAUUGCACAAUGGGCGCAAGCCUGAUGCAGCCAUGCCGCGUGUGUGAAGAAGGCCUUAGGGUUGUAAAGCACUUUCAGCGAGGAGGAAGGCAUCACACUUAAUACGUGUGGUGAUUGACGUUACUCGCAGAAGAAGCACCGGCUAACUCCGUGCCAGCAGCCGCGGUAAUACGGAGGGUGCAAGCGUUAAUCGGAAUUACUGGGCGUAAAGCGCACGC